AUUGAACGCUGGCGGCAUGCCUUACACAUGCAAGUCGAACGGCAGCACGGGUGCUUGCACCUGGUGGCGAGUGGCGAACGGGUGAGUAAUAUAUCGGAACGUGCCCUAGAGUGGGGGAUAACGUAGCGAAAGUUACGCUAAUACCGCAUACGAUCUACGGAUGAAAGUGGGGGAUCGCAAGACCUCAUGCUCCUGGAGCGGCCGAUAUCUGAUUAGCUAGUUGGUGGGGUAAAAGCCUACCAAGGCGACGAUCAGUAGCUGGUCUGAGAGGACGACCAGCAACACUGGGACUGAGACCCGGCCCAGACUCCUGCGGGAGGCAGCAGUGGGGAAUGUUGGCCAAUGGGGGAAACCCUGAUCCAGUAAUGCCGCGUGUGUGAAGAAGGCCUUCGGGUUGUAAAGCACUUUUGUCAGGAACGAAACGGUGGGGGCUAAUACCUCCUGCUAAUGACGGUACCUGAAGAAUAAGCACCGGCUAACUACGUGCCAGCAGCCGCAGUAA
rnacentral:rRNA from 1 species